ACCGCGUACUUUUUGUAGAACGGUCCGGCGAGUUACGCUUACUGGCAAGGUUAAGCACUUCAGGUGUGGAGCCGUAGGGAAACCAAGUCUUAAGAGGGCCAGAGUCAGUAGGAGUAGACCCGAAACCGGGUGAUCUAUCCAUGUCCAGGUUGAAGCUGCCGUAAGAGGUAGUGGAGGACCGAACCCACAUCCGUUGAAAAGGGUGGGGAUGAGGUGUGGAUAGGGGAGAAAUUCCAAUCGAACCCGGAGAUAGCUGGUUCUCCUCGAAAUAGCUUUAGGGCUAGCCUCGAUACAGAUUUGCGGAGGUAGAGCACUGAAUUUCCUAGGGGGCGUCAAAGCCUACCGAAGAAUAUCAAACUCCGAAUGCCGCGUAAUCGAUUAUCGGGAGUCAGACUGCACGAGAUAAGUUGGGCGGUCAAAAGGGAAAGAGCCCAGACCUUCAGUUAAGGUCCCCAAGUGCGCGUUAAGUGGAAAAGGAUGUGGGAUUUCGAAGACAACCAGGAUGUUGGCUCAGAAGCAGCCAUCCAUUCAAAGAGUGCGUAAUAGCUCACUGGUCGAGAGGUCCUGCGCCGAAAAUGUCCGGGGCUGAAACGCGCCACCGAAACUAAGGAACCGAAAGGUUGGUAGAGGAGCAUUGCAUGCGGGAAGAAGCAGUACCGUAAGGAGCUGUGGACUGCAUGGAAGAGAGAAUGCCGGAAUGAGUAGCGAGAAUAAGGUGAGAAUCCUUAUGGCCGAAUAUCCAAGGUUUCCAGAGUAAAGCUGAUCUGCUCUGGGUAAGUCGGGGCCUAAGGCGAGGACGAGAGUCGUAGCCGAUGGACAACAGGUGGAGAUUCCUGUACUGCGGUAUGACAGAACUGUGGGGACACGUAAGGAAAGCGGAAGCCGGGAAUGGAAAGCCCGGUGCAAGCGGGGUACCAGCCACUUUGGCAAAUCCGGGUGGCAAUGGGAAGCCGUGAUGCGGAG
rnacentral:rRNA from 1 species